AAUUAGUUUGAUUCUAGCUAAUAGUCUUUAUACUAUUAUUAAAAUCGCAUGAAAAUUUUGUUAUAAUGAGAAAAAUUGAUUAAAUAUUAAUUUUUAAAAUAUAAUUGAUAUAAUGAUUAUUUAUACUCUCAGCGUAAAGUUUUAAUUAAUAUACGAAAGUAUGAAUUAGGGGUAAUAGUUAAUUAAUCUGAUGAAAUAUUGUGCCAGCAUUCGCGGUUAGACUUUAAGGUUAAAUAAAGAUAGUUAUAGUAUAAUAGUUAUUUGUGAGUUAUAAUAUUAUUUUAUAAGCACUAAAAGGUGAAGUUAUAUUGUUUUAUAAAUAUAAUAUAUUUUAGGAGAAGCUAGGAAACUUUAAAAAUAAACUAGGAUUAGAUACCCUACUAUAUUAAAGUUAAAUUUAUGAAUACUGAGUUAUUAGUAGAUAUUUCUUAAAAUUUAAAGAAUUUGGCGGUAAUUUAGUCUUGUUAGAGGAAUUUGUUUUUUAAUCGAUACACCACGUUAUAUCUUACUUGUUUUAAAUAGUUUGUAUACCAUCAUUAUUAGAUAAUUUUAAAAGAAAAAAUUAUUAAAAAUAAAUAUAUUAAAAAAAUUAGAUCAAGGUGCAGCUGAUAAACAAGUUAAAAUGAGUUACAAUAAAAUUUAUUUAUACGGAAUAAUUUAAAAAAUUAAAUUAUAAAGGUGGAUUUAAUUGUAAUAUAAGUUUAAUAAACCUAUAAGAUAUAAGCUCUAAAUUAUGUACAUAUCGCCCGUCGCUUUCAUGAAUUUAUGAGAUAAGUCGUAACAGAGUAGGUGUACUGGAAAGUGUACCUAGAAUUAA
rnacentral:ncRNA from 1 species